rnacentral:rRNA from 1 species
UACGUAGGUGGCAAGCGUUAUCCGGAUUUAUUGGGUUUAAAGGGUGCGUAGGCGGCCUGCCAAGUCAGCGGUAAAAUUGCGGGGCUCAACCCCGUACAGCCGUUGAAACUGCCGGGCUCGAGUGGGCGAGAAGUAUGCGGAAUGCGUGGUGUAGCGGUGAAAUGCAUAGAUAUCACGCAGAACCCCGAUUGCGAAGGCAGCAUACCGGCGCCCUACUGACGCUGAGGCACGAAAGUGCGGGGAUCAAACAGG